GAAAUUUUGACACAAGGUUUAUGACCACAAAAGGAAGGUUGGGAUUGAUUUUGGGAGUUUUGGUUCCAACAGUUUAGGAAUUAAGGGCCAAAAAAAGGGCCCAAAUAAGCAUUAUUCUUGGUUUUCGCACCAUAACUUUAGUAUAAGUAAAUAGAAAUCUAUGAAAUUUAAACACAAGGUUUAUGACCAUAAAAGGAAGGUUGGGUUUGAUUUUGGGAGUUUUGGUCCCAACAGUUUAGGAAUAAGGGGCCCAAAGGGUCCAAAAUUGAACUUUGUUUGAUUUCAUAAAAAAUUGAAUAAUUGGGGUUCUUUGAUAUGCCGAAUCUAACUAUGUAUGUAGAUUCUUAAUUUUUGGUCCCGUUUUCAAAUUGGUCUACAUUAAGGUCCAAAGGGUCCCAAAUUAAACUUAGUUUGAUUUUAACAAAAAUUGAAUCCUUGGGGUUCUUUGAUAUGCUGAAUUUAAAAAUGUACUUAGAUUUUUUAAUUAUUGGCC
rnacentral:lncRNA from 1 species